GCUUUUAAAGUAGAUAAGCAGUGGCAAGAUCACGUGAAGUAUAAAACCUACCAAACUGAAAUCAAACUUCACAACCUGAAUGCUGACACUUUCAAUGGACAAUACAGCUGUGAAGUGUUUACAACCGAGCUCAGACACUUGGAAGAAACAUCUGUCUCAGGAAUAGCUCACAGCACUGCAGCUCUCAGACAAGAAGUUAGUGUCACCGCUGUUGGAAUAGGCAUCGGUGUAACACUAUUCAUACUCAUUAUUUCAGUUAUUGCAUUUUGCAUAUUGAAAAGAAACAGAUCUGAACAAAUUGGAGAACCUGAUGGGCUCAAUCUGGCAGUAAAGGCAGAGACGAGUGAUCUGCCCAACGAAGAGACCCGCGAUCUGCUAGAAAACGGAGGGACGCACGAUCUGGCAGUAAAGGAAGAGACGAGUGAUCUGGCCAACGAAGAGACGCGCGAUCUGCCAGAAAACGGAGGGACACGCGAUCUGGCAGUAAAG